UUUUGAAUGCAAACCGUCGUUAAACCUCAAAGAAGACUCAACAACGCGCGCGCUCAAUACGUCAGUGGACACGACGAGCGGUCAAGAAUACUUUGGCAAAUGAGGAUAUCAAAAUGUCCAGCCUGUUAGCCGUCACUAAAAUCUACAAACAUUCAGCAAUUUAACUACACGGCAUGUUUUACCAGAGACUUAAAUUUGCACGGGAGUCGGACUACACGACAAGCAACAAGCGUAAAUUUGUUUAGCUGCUGUAUCAGAGGAGUGAGGAAAGGACUCUCUGUCUUGAGAUGAAUCUCUUAGAGAAACAGAGUGUAAGAUCAGGCUCACAUGUGUCCAGCUCUGUGUCUGUGAAGAGUGACUGUUCAAAAGGUGGCAUGCCAAACUUCCGUGAGAAAAAAACAUCUAUUAAAAGGAAAAGAUCAGGCUCACAUGUGUUCAGCUCUGUGUCUGUGAAGAGUGAUUGGUCAAAAGGUGAUGUGCCGAACUUCAGUGAGGAAACUAUCAAAAGGUUUAAGACUCUCGGGAACCAAAAUAAUUUCAAAGACAAUCUCCUCAGGGUCUUCCAUGAUCUUGAGAGCAAAAUAAUCACAUUUCUGAAGGAGGAGCUCAAAAAGUUUAUGAAAAUAUUGCAAAAAGAGAAAACGCAAUGCUUUGUGAAGGACUUUAAUGAGAAUAGAUGCAGUAUCAAAGAAGCAGCUCUUGAUCUCACACUCUACUUCUUGAGAGAUAUGAAGCAAGAUGAAGCUGCCAAUAGUCUAGAAGAUGAGCUGUUCUUCAUUCAUCAGCAAAAAACUAACCUGAAGAAGAAGUAUCAGUGUGUGUUUGAAGGAAUUGCAAAACAAGGUGACUCUACACUUUUGAAUAACAUCUACACAGAUCUCUAUAUCACCCAGGGUGGUAGUGAACAGGUCAAUACUGAACAUGAGGUAAGACAGAUUGAAAUUGCUUCUAGGCGACAUAAAUCACAGGAGAUACAGGUUGAAUGCAAAAAUUUGUUUGAAACACCUGAACAAGACAAGAAGAUCAGAACUGUACUGACAAAAGGAGUUGCUGGCAUCGGAAAAUCAGUCUCUGUGCAAAAGUUUGUUCUGGAUUGGGCUGAAGGAAAAGAAAAUCAAGACAUUGGCUUCAUAUUUCCUCUUCCAUUCAGAGAGAUGAACUUAAAGGAGAAAGAGCCGCAAAGUUUGAUAGACCUUAUAACCCAGUUUUUCCCAGAGACAAAAGGAUUGAACCUUAAAAGAAGGAAUCAAUUCAAAGUCUUGUUCAUCCUUGAUGGAUUAGAUGAAUUUCGUCUUCCUCUAAACUUUAACUCUGAGACAUGGUGUGAUCUAUCAUCACCAGCCUCUCUGGAUGUUCUCCUGACAAACCUCAUCAAGGGAAAUCUGCUUCCUUCUGCUCUCAUCUGGAUCACCACCAGACCAGCAGCUUCCAGUAAGAUUCCUCCUGACUGUAUCGACCGGGUGACAGAGAUACAAGGAUUCAAUGAUUCUCAAAAGGAAGAGUACUUCAAAAAAAGAUUCACAGAUGAGAAUCAGGCCAAAGAAAUCAUUGGUCAUAUUAAACAAUCAAAGAGUCUCUUCAUCAUGUGCCACAUCCCAGUCUUCUGCUGGAUUUCAGCCACUGUUCUCCAGAACAUUUUGGAACAGAAAAUAAAUAAUCUAAAAAACAAUCAGGCUGAUGAUGCCUCCAAUACACCACAGGAAUCAAAUUCUGAAGACACUCCCCAGACUCUGACACAAAUGUACACACAUUUUCUCCAAUUUCAGAUCCUGCAGAGCAGACAAAAGUAUGAUGGAAAAUACGCAGCAGAUGUUUCCUGGGAUAAAGAGGCUAUCCUUUCCCUGGGGAAACUGGCAUUUCAACAGUUGGAAAAGAACAAUGUGAUCUUCUAUGAUACAGAUCUGGAAGCCUGUGGUAUUGAAGUCUAUAAGGCGUCAGUGUAUUCAGGCAUGUGCACACAGAUAUUUAAGGAGGAAAAAGGGAUUGUUCUUGGUACCAUGUACUGCUUUGUUCACUUGAGCAUUCAAGAGUUCAUUGCAGCCCUUUAUGUACAUCUGUUUCUAGACAUCAACAAGAAAAGUGUGUUUGUUCAUGAGUCUACAGAACAGGAGAACAAAAAUGAAACCAUGAUUGAUUUGCUCAAGACUGCAGUGGACAAGGCACUCAAAAGUGACAAUGGACACCUGGACCUUUUCCUUCGCUUCCUUCUUGGUCUGUCACUACAGUCUAAUCAGCUGCUCUUUCGAGGUCUGUUGACACAAGAAGACGACAAUGACCAGAGCAAAAAGGAAAUAGUUCAGUACAUCAAACAGAAAUUAGCAGCUAAUCUGUCUCCAGAGAGAUCCAUCAAUCUGUUCUACUGUCUGAAUGAACUGAAUGAUCAAACUCUGGUGAAAGAGAUUCAGACCCACCUCAGCAAAGGAAGUCUCUCAUCUGCUGAAAUUUCUCCUGCCCAGUGGUCUGCUUUGGCCUUUGUGUUGUUGACAUCAGAGGAAGAGCAGGAGGAGUUUGAGCUUCAGAAAUUCAAGAAAUCAGACGAGAGUCUCAUUAGAUUAUCAGCAGUCAUCAAAACCUCCAAAAGAGCUCUGCUAAAUGAUUGUGACUUAACAGACAAAAGCUGUUCAACUCUGGCUACAGUUCUUGGAUCAAAUACCAGUCUGAAAAUGCUGAACAUGAACAAUAAUAAUCUGCAAGAUUCAGGAGUGAAGCUGCUCUGCACUGGACUGAAGAAUAUACAGUGUAAAUUGGAGAUACUUAGGCUCAGUAACUGUAAGCUAACAGAGGAAAGCUGUUCAGCUCUCACUUCAGUUCUCAGUUCGGACUCCAGCAGUCUGAAGGAGCUUGACCUGAGCAAUAAUAUCCUGCAUGAUUCAGGAGUGAAGCUACUCUCUGAUGGACUGAAAGAGAACUGUAAACUGGAGAAACUCAGACUCUCAAACUGCCAUAUCACUGAAGAAAGUUAUAAAGCUCUGGCUUCAGCUCUGAGAUCAAACCCUUCACACCUGAUAGAGCUGGAUCUCACGGGAAAUGAUCAUGGACAAUCAGGAGUGGAGCAUCUCAGUGAUUUACUACAGGAUACAAACUGUCAACUGAAGACACUGAGAUUUUUGGGUCCUGAUGCAGAUGAAGCCUGUCAGUAUGUGACUAGAGUUGUGGGUAAACACCCAUUAUUUCUGAGAGAGUUGAAUCUGAGUGGACAUAAACUAGGAGAUGCACGAGUGAAUCAGAUCGCUGCUCUACUGCAGGAUAAACACUGUAAACUCCACACACUUAUUCUGUGUAUUUGCAGUAUUACAGAAGAACAGUGUCUCAUCCUGACUUCAGCUCUGAAAUCAAACCCAUCACACCUGAGAGAAUUGGACCUCAGUGGGAAUGAACUGGAAGACACAGGAGUAAAUCACUUAUGUGACAUACUGAAGGAUUUACACAGUAAACUGGAGAGACUGAGGUUAAGAUUCUGUUACAUAACAGAUGAAGGUUGUUCUGCUGUUACUUCAGCUCUGAAAUCAAACCCAUCACACCUAAGAGAGCUGGACCUGAGUAUGAAUGAAAUAGGAGACUCUGGAUUUGAAAUCCUCAGUGACCUACUGAUGAACCCACAAUGCAAACUGGAAAAACUAGAUCUGUGGAGAUGUGGAAUUACAGAAGAACAGUUUCUUAUCCUGAUUUCCGCUCUGAAAUCAAACCCAUCACACCUGAGAGAGCUGGACCUGACUGAGAAUCAAAUGAGAAGCACAGGAGUGAAUCACUUAUGUCAAAUACUGAAGGAUUCACACUGUAAACUGGAGGGAUUGAGGUUAAGAUACUGUGAUAUGACAGACGGAGACUGUUUUGAUCUGACUUCAGCUCUGAAAUCAAACCCAUCACAUUUGAGAGCGCUGGACCUAAGUCUGAAUGAAUUAGGGGACUCUGGAUUUGAAAACCUCAGUGAUCUGCUGAUGAACCCACAAUGCAAGUUGACAAAACUACUUCUGAGUAGAUGCAGUUUUACUGAAGAUCAGAGUUUCAUCCUGACUUCAGCUCUGAAAUCCAACUCAUCACACCUGAGAGAGCUGGACAUCAGUGAGAAUAAAAUGUACAACACAGGAGUAAAUCAAUUACGUGAUAUACUGAAGGAUUCACAAUGUAAACUGGAGAGACUGAGGCUGAGAUGCUGUGAUGUGACAGAUGAAGGUUGUUCUGCUCUGACUUCAGCUCUGAAAUCAAACCCAUCACACCUGAAAGAGCUGGACCUGAGUAUGAAUAAAUUAGGAGGCUAUGGAGUUGAAAACAUCUGUGAUCUACUGAUGAACGCACAAUGCAAGCUGGAGAAACUAUAUCUGCGCGGAUGCAGCAUUACAGAGGAACAGUGUCUCAUCCUGACUUCAGCUCUGAAAUCAAACCCAUCACACCUGAUAGAGCUGGACCUGAGUAUGAAUAAAAUAAAAAACACAGGAGUGAAUCACUUAAGUGACAUUCUGAAGGAUUCACAUUGUAAACUGGAGAGAUUGAGUCUAAAUGACUGUGCCAUUACAGAUGUUUCUUCUUUAACUCAGUCUUUGACAAACACAAAAACACUGCAGUUUUUAAAAGAGCUUGAUCUGAAAAACAAUAACAUACAAGACUCAGAGAAGCAGCUCAUUGAUGUGCUGCGACACUCAAACUGUAAACUGAGAUUAGAGAGAGAUUGCUCGUUUCCCAGGUGGAUGAUCGACCAGGACCAGUAACGAAGACCAGUAAUGAUCAGUGCAUAACAUCAUCAAAAGAUUCAGAGAAACUGGAGAAAUCUCUGUGCGUAAGGGACAAGGCCCUCAGACGACACUGCAUCACUCAUCGGCAUGAUUCUGUCAUUGACAUUAUUAAAUGGGCCCAGGAAUACUUCCAGAAACCACUGUCGGUAAACACAAUCCGCCGUGCCAUCUGCAUAUGCCAACUAAAGCUCUAUCAUGCAAAAAUGAAGCCAUAUGUGAACAUGGUCCAGAAGUGCCGUCGUGUCCUGCGGGCCAAGGCUCAUGGACUGUUUCAAAGUGGAAAAGUGUUCUAUGGUCAGACGAGUCCAAAUUUGACAUUCUUGUUGGAAAUCACGGACGCCGUGUCCUCCAGGCUAAAGAGGAGAAAGACCUUCCAGCGUCUCAUCAGCGUUCAGUUCAAAAGCCAGCAUCUCUGAUUGUAUGGGGGUGCAUAAGUGCAUAUGCAGGACAAUGGAAAAUCACAUACUGCAGCUAUUACAACAGCAUGGCUUCGUAGUAGAAGAGUCCGGGUGCUGAAUUGGCCUGCCUGCAGUCCAGAUCUUUCACCUAUAGAGUCAUUAAAAGAAAAAAAAAAAACGUCAAAGACGACCACAAACUCUUCAGCAGCUGGAAACCUAUAUCAGGCAAGAAUGGGACCAAAUUCCAACACCAAAACUCCAGAAACUCAUAACCUCGAUGCCCAGACGUCUUCAAACUGUUGAACAAAGCCAGAUCAGGUCUCUGCCCCUCACAUGGACCAGUGGACUGAUGAUGGGAAGAGCAUCAUUUAAAAAGCCCAGAAGGGGAAUUGAUGGUGUGGGAUGUAGUGCUUGAAAAAAGCAAUUUACAGUGAUUAUUGAGUUAGUUUAUGUUAGUUUGCGUUGUGUAUUAGUAAAAUAAUUUUUUUAGAGAACAUUGUGAAAGUGUAAUACUGUAAAUAGUUUAUAUACUGCUUACUUUCACAGAGGCUGUAGGGGUUGGGUUCUAUUUUAUUUUCUAUUUCCUCUUGUUUAUUGCUAGUUAUGGAGGCAGGGAAUCUCUCUUUAUUUUUGUUACACUUCUUAACGUUUGUUAACGCACAAAUAUCCAGUAUAUUGUCUUUCAUUUUCACAGUAAUUUUAAUAAUCACAGUAAUUUUCUGUGGAUGGAGCCUCUCCUUCAUCAGUCCAGAUUAACUAAACUUCAAGCAUACCAGUUAAAAGCAUUAACAGCAUGUACUUUUCACUCGUUCCACUCUAAAUAGACUAAUGCAUUUUGUUUAACAAUUAUAAUCAUCUUUAUCACCACCCGUUUUAGAAAUUUUGCUCUUCAUUGUAUUAUGUUUUACCGUUAACAGUAUUGUCUGUAAAAUUGCCGGUUAAUGUUCUUGCAGAAAAUCACCAGUACUUUUUUUAUUUGUUUGUUUGUUUUUACAGUAUACAGUUAAGAACAAUUAUUUUUUGUUUGAAAAGUUCACUUUUUGUUAAACCAAUACUACCAGUCAUAACGUUUUUUCUUCUUAAACUGCUAUGGUUCUCUAUUUGUAUUUGAUUGUUUGCACUAUGUCUUGGACUUGGGCAAAUGUCUAUUGUCCACCUAAGUGAUUAUGAAUGAAUUGAUUGUUUAUUUGCUAUUGUCACUGUGAAGCAUCCUUGAGUUUGGGAAAGGUGCUAUAUAAAUGAAACACUAUCAUUAUUAUUAUUAUUAUUAUUAUUGUUGAUGCUGUUGUUUUUAAAUUUGUAGAGGUGAAACAUAAAACUGUAUCAGCAAUCUUGAGAUUACUGUUUGAGAGGAAACCAUGCUGAUCUGGCUGAUAUAUACAAUCAAGACAGAAAUCUGUAAAUGGUAAAUAUAUAUAUAUAUAUAUAUAUAUAUAUAUAUAUAU